rnacentral:rRNA from 1 species
AGUGAACGCUGGCGGUAGGCCUAACACAUGCAAGUCGAACGGCAGCACAGGAGAGCUUGCUCUCUGGGCGGCGAGUGGCGGACGGGUGAGGAAUACAUCGGAAUCUACUCUGUCGUGGGGGAUAACGUAGGGAAACUUACGCUAAUACCGCAUACGACCUACGGGUGAAAGCAGGGGAUCUUCGGACCUUGCGCGAUUGAAUGAGCCGAUGUCGGAUUAGCUAGUUAGCGGGGUAAAGGCCCACCAAGGCGACGAUCCGUAGCUGGUCUGAGAGGAUGAUCAGCCACACUGGAACUGAGACAUGGUCCAGACUCCUACGGGAGGCAGCAGUGGGGAAUAUUGGACAAUGGGCGCAAGCCUGAUCCAGCCAUACCGCGUGGGUGAAGAAGGCCUUCGGGUUGUAAAGCCCUUUUGUUGGGAAAGAAAUCCAGCUGGUUAAUACCCGGUUGGGAUGACGGUACCCAAAGAAUAAGCACCGGCUAACUUCGUGCCAGCAGCCGCCGUAA